rnacentral:lncRNA from 1 species
UUUUAACAUUCUGGUUUUCUGGGCCUCGGUCCAGAGGACUUCUAAAUAAGUCCUUAUUUGAGGGGACUGCCUGUCCGCUGCCUUUUAGCAUCCUCCAACAAAUUAGUAACAAGUAGCGAUAAGUAUUAUGACGAUAGCGCCUGUGUAUUGAGCGCCUACUCGGUGCCAGGCCUUGGGUUCAGCGAUUUUCUACACUCAUCCCAUUUCAUUCUCACACUUGUCUAAAAAGGAGGGGGGUCUACCAUGAUGGCCAUUUUAAAGACGGGGAAACUGAGGCACAGAGGAAGGAGUCCCUUGGCCAAGUUCACAGAGGGGCAAACCGCAGGGUCAGGGCUGGUCUCAUUUCCAGGGCCAGGACUGCUAACCACCACCCUGCUGCCAGGUAGCCCCAGAAGCUUGCACAGGUUCGCUAAGCCAAAAAGGUUUGACGAAGGCUUGUGGAAUUUUCCUGUGGAUCCUGUGCCCUUUGAUUCUUAUGCCAGAUUACACACCGCAGAUUACGUGCAAGGACGCAGACAAUUGUGUCAGAGGAAGUCGUUAGAGGUACACAGGAGAACUUCGCAGACGGAGAUACUGAGGCCCAGAGCAGGGGGGAGACGCCCCAAGUAUCUCGUGGCAGGUUCAAUUUCUUCUCCGCCGUCACCAUCAUGAUCAUCUCGUGGAGUGAGAAACGCUCAGGUAGUUCAGUUUCCCCUGCAAAUGGACCACCAGACAAUUGAAGGAGUUAAAUGCUUAUUAAAAGUGCAGUUGUCUACUGCUGCAUAAUAUGUCACCAGCUGAAGGCUCAGCUGGAGCAGGAUUAAGUUCCAAGCACACAGCAGCUCACAACGUGGCAGCAGCCAUCGUCAUGGCCAGCCAGGGAGGGAGUUUGCUAGCAAGACAAGUCACAUCUUG